CCUACGGGGGGCUGCAGUGGGGAAUAUUGCACAAUGGGCGCAAGCCUGAUGCAGCCAUGCCGCGUGUGUGAAGAAGGCCUUCGGGUUGUAAAGCACUUUCAGCGGGGAGGAAGGCGGUGAGGUUAAUAACCUCAUCGAUUGACGUUACCCGCAGAAGAAGCACCGGCUAACUCCGUGCCAGCAGCCGCGGUAAUACGGAGGGUGCAAGCGUUAAUCGGAAUUACUGGGCGUAAAGCGCACGCAGGCGGUCUGUCAAGUCGGAUGUGAAAUCCCCGGGCUCAACCUGGGAACUGCAUUCGAAACUGGCGGGCUAGAGUCUGGUAGAGGGGGGUAGAAUUCCAGGUGUAGCGGUGAAAUGCGUAGAGAUAGGGAGGAAUACCGGUGGCGAAGGCGGCCCCCUGGACAAAGACUGACGCUCAGGUGCGAAAGCGUGGGGAGCAAACAGGAUUAGAUACCCGAGUAGUC
rnacentral:rRNA from 1 species